rnacentral:rRNA from 1 species
GUGGCGGACGGGUGAGUAAUGUCUGGGAAACUGCCCGAUGGAGGGGGAUAACUACUGGAAACGGUAGCUAAUACCGCAUAACGUCGCAAGACCAAAGAGGGGGACCUUCGGGCCUCUUGCCAUCGGAUGUGCCCAGAUGGGAUUAGCUUGUAGGUGAGGUAACGGCUCACCUAGGCGACGAUCCCUAGCUGGUCUGAGAGGAUGACCAGCCACACUGGAACUGAGACACGGUCCAGACUCCUACGGGAGGCAGCAGUGGGGAAUAUUGCACAAUGGGCGCAAGCCUGAUGCAGCCAUGCCGCGUGUAUGAAGAAGGCCUUCGGGUUGUAAAGUACUUUCAGCGGGGAGGAAGGGAGUGAGGUUAAUAACCUCAUUCAUUGACGUUACCCGCAGAAGAAGCACCGGCUAACUCCGUGCCAGCAGCCGCGGUAAUACGGAGGGUGCAAGCGUUAAUCGGAAUUACUGGGCGUAAAGCGCACGCAGGCGGUCUGUCAAGUCGGAUGUGAAAUCCCCGGGCUCAACCUGGGAACUGCAUUCGAAACUGGCAGGCUGGAGUCUUGUAGAGGGGGGUAGAAUUCCAGGUGUAGCGGUGAAAUGCGUAGAGAUCUGGAGGAAUACCGGUGGCGAAGGCGGCCCCCUGGACAAAGACUGACGCUCAGGUGCGAAAGCGUGGGGAGCAAAC